AUGGUCACUUAGAUGAAGCAAGCUGCCUACCCCUUUGAACACUUUAGUGAGGUAAACAGCUGAUGCAGAAAGGUGUUGCUGCGUAUCCCGCAGAAGACCGGCUUGGAGAUCUUAGAAAAAGAUGGUUUUUUGCCAGUCUGCAAUAGUUACGAGCUGGAAGUACCAAGAUCCAAAAUAAUGGAGUUAGGAGUUACUCAGUGGCUGUCUGAAAUAUUUAUAAAACGAAGAAAGUUUUCAUGGAGCAGGGAAGCAUUUUCCAUCUAAAACAGUCAUGGGCUGGAUUUUGAAUUCUGCCACAGAAGACAAAAUGCCAGACCAAAAAGUGAGAGGAAGGAACGUAUCCUGGUGAGUUGUGGUUUUUCGUUUUUUUUUUUUUUUUUUUUUCCUUUUAAAUGAUAUUGUUAAUUAGGAAUUGAGAAUUUACAGACCAAACCUCAGAAGAUCGAAUGUA
rnacentral:lncRNA from 1 species